rnacentral:lncRNA from 1 species
AAUGUUUUGGUGGUUGUGGCCUGGGUAGCGAUUAAAAGCGAUUGUAACUUGAAGCUUUCGAUUGAAAAAGUUUGAAAUGUCAUGAUUAUACAUAAUUGUGAUUUCCAGUCUUAGACAUACCUUCCCGGCCGAACCUGAUGCAUGAAGCUUGUAUAUUAUGGAGAAAAAAAUGAGAAUACAAAAUACUUUGUCUUCAACCUUUCAUAUGACGUAUGUUUUCUUAGUUUAUUUUAGCUGAAAUCAAGAAUUGUAUCUCUAACAACCUAAUAUUAAUACUUUGUUAUUUUUAUUUGCGAUGCCUAUAAUGUUUUGGACGUAUAAUAGAGCAUAAAUAAACUUGUAAGUUUAUCAUAACGAG